GCCCUCGUGGUGAAAUUGGUAGACACAAAGGACUUAAAAUCCUUGCCGCUUGCGGAGUGCCAGUUCGAGUCUGGCCGAGGGCACCA
rnacentral:tRNA from 31 species